rnacentral:piRNA from 2 species
GUGGAAAGCAGAAAGUCCUGGAAGUGGAUC